rnacentral:rRNA from 1 species
UACGUAGGGUGCGAGCGUUAAUCGGAAUUACUGGGCGUAAAGCGUGCGCAGGCGGUGAUGUAAGACAGGUGUGAAAUCCCCGGGCUUAACCUGGGAACUGCAUUUGUGACUGCAUCGCUGGAGUGCGGCAGAGGGGGAUGGAAUUCCGCGUGUAGCAGUGAAAUGCGUAGAUAUGCGGAGGAACACCGAUGGCGAAGGCGAUCCCCUGGGCCUGCACUGACGCUCAUGCACGAAAGCGUGGGGAGCAAACAGG